rnacentral:rRNA from 1 species
UACGAAGGGGGCUAGCGUUGCUCGGAAUUACUGGGCGUAAAGCGCACGUAGGCGGCUUUUUAAGUCGGGGGUGAAAUCCUGGAGCUCAACUCCAGAACUGCCUUCGAUACUGGAAAGCUCGAGUCCGGGAGAGGUGAGUGGAACUGCGAGUGUAGAGGUGAAAUUCGUAGAUAUUCGCAAGAACACCAGUGGCGAAGGCGGCUCUCUGGGACGGUACUGACGCUGAGACGCGAAAGCGUGGGGAGCGAACAGG